ensembl:lncRNA
AGAGAUCCCUCCUUGGUGGAGCUUUCCCCUGCAAACCUAGACUCUUCUGAUACAGGUAAAUUGGAGACUGCAGCCCUGCACCUUUGUGAAGUUGUUCCUGUGUAACUCUGCCCCACAGAAAUGAUGGUGACUGUAGGCAAAGAGAUGAGGUUCUGGAACUCCCACCAUGCUGAAGUAUUCCUGCAGUCUAUCCAAUAGAAUCUGUUUCCAAGCCCCUUCCAGAAAAUCCUUAACACACUUAGUGCUGUUUUGGACAAUUUUCACUACUCUGCCAUACUGUGAUUAUUCAGGAAGUGUAGGACCUUUCGCAGAAUCUUUAGUGCAGAACUUGAGUCAAUUGAUUCUAAAUACAACAGUUAGAAAUGACAUUUAUAAACAUGCUUUCUGAACAUAGCUCAUGACAUUAGCAGCUUUCUGACCAUCUAAGUGAGUUCC